AUCAAACGGUUGUGACGGU
rnacentral:siRNA from 1 species